rnacentral:rRNA from 1 species
AAAAUGGAGAGUUUGAUCCUGGCUCAGAGUGAACGCUGGCGGCGUGCCUAAUACAUGCAAGUCGAACGGACAAGUAAGAGCUUGCUCUUAUAAGUUAGUGGCGCACGGGUGAGUAAUGUAUAGUUAAUCUGCCCUAUGCUGGAGGACAACAGUUAGAAAUGACUGCUAAUACUCCAUACUCCUUCUUAACACAAGUUAAGUUGGGAAAG